CCCCGCCUGGGGAGUACGGCCGCAAGGCUAAAACUCAAAGGAAUUGACGGGGGCCCGCACAAGCGGCGGAGCAUGCGGAUUAAUUCGAUGCAACGCGAAGAACCUUACCAAGGCUUGACAUAUACGAGAACGGGCCAGAAAUGGUCAACUCUUUGGACACUCGUAAACAGGUGGUGCAUGGUUGUCGUCAGCUCGUGUCGUGAGAUGUUGGGUUAAGUCCCGCAACGAGCGCAACCCUCGUUCUAUGUUGCCAGCACGUAAUGGUGGGAACUCAUGGGAUACUGCCGGGGUCAACUCGGAGGAAGGUGGGGACGACGUCAAAUCAUCAUGCCCCUUAUGUCUUGGGCUUCACGCAUGCUACAAUGGCCAGUACAAAGGGCUGCAAUACCGUAAGGUGGAGCGAAUCCCAAAAAGCUGGUCCCAGUUCGGAUUGAGGUCUGCAACUCGACCUCAUGAAGUCGGAGUCGCUAGUAAUCGCAGAUCAGCAACGCUGCGGUGAAUACGUUCCCGGGCCUUGUACACACCGCCCGUCAAGUCAUGAAAGUCGGUA
rnacentral:rRNA from 1 species